rnacentral:misc_RNA from 1 species
CCGAGUUUACAACUCCCAAACCCCUGUGAACAUACCUAUACGUUGCCUCGGCGGAUCAGCCCGCGCCCCGUAAAAGGGACGGCCCGCCCGAGGACCCCUAAACUCUGUUUCUAUAUGUAACUUCUGAGUAAAACCAUAAAUAAAUCA